AAUACGUCGAACGAACAUCAACCAUCUAUAUAUUGUGCUGCAGAAAUACGAGAUCCAUUGUGCUGUUCUUCCUGGUCAGGCCAAUGUUUUUCCAUGGAAAACGCCAUUAUUCAAAACACGAUCAACUGUACAAAGUGAUCAGAACAUUACCCCUCGUGAAAUGGAGUCCAAUAUCUGGAAGUAAAUGGACCGAAUCUUUUUAACCGCUGCACCCAAAAGUCAGCAAAGCACGAUGCCUCUUCCCACGGAGCACAGCAUACUGCAGGAGAGCCACUUUGGAGACUUUGGAGAGAAAAAAAGUCCAGGCAGAGCAACAGCGGAGACGGCAAUAGUGAUCAAAAUAAAUAUCGUCGCUACUCAUCGUUCAAUAUGUUCAAAAAGCAGGAAGCUUGUCAUCCUUGAACGACGUAUCAUCUAACUAGGAAUUAAGAAGAAAUUCUGGCAUGCGAUUCGAAUUCCAAUUCGAGAGCAAACGAGUGUAAAUUUAAUUUAUAGGGGAAAGAGGGGCAAGAUCGCCAUAUGGGGCAAGACAGCCAACGUUGAUUAUGAUUUAAGUGAGCAAUAUAUUCACAUUAUUAUUACGAGGGAUGGUUAACAAUAAUGUAAAAUUGAUAUAUUCAACUGAAAAAUGCACAUUGACAACCUCACUUGUUCUUGAAAUAUUGAUUAAGAUGAUGUAGUUGAAAUUCGAAUUUUCUUAUAAUUUUGUAGAUACACAACUCAAGGUUUGAAGCCAAAAUUACUAUUUUUUCAGCACAAAUUAAUAUUUACCAAAGCUCUUAUAUAACUAUAGGUUAUCUACAAUAAUAAUUUAAGAAGAUUAACAGUAAUUAUGAUCGAUAGGACUAAAAUCUUUGGGCGGUAUUGCAAACUAUAUUAAGAACAAGGUCAUCUCCAGGAUUAAGAGUCGCCUAACCUUUAAAUUCAUUCAAAAAAUCAUCAAAAUAGUUUCUGCCUGAAUCAGAGAUGAUUUAAAAAACUGAUAUGGUUUUAAUCGUAAAAAUUUUAGGCUUUAGGCAAAUUCUGAUAUCGUCGUAGAGCCAGAGGUCAAUAAAUCAACAUGAAAUACGACAUUUUCAAGCGAAACAUCAUUUGAACAUAAUCCAUAGAAGUCCAAGGAAUGUGUCAACCGUUCUAAAUAAAUUCAGCACGCUUUUAAUAUAUUUUUUGGUUCUCGCUCGUCUAGCCCCGAGGGGGUGGCCAUGUCGCCCCAUAUGAUAAAUAAUAGGCAUCAUACAAAUACCUUUUUUGCCUUUCUCGUACAACAAAGUUGUACCAGAAGGCUAUAAUUUCACUCCAAAAGCCAAAUUUUGAUAGAAGGCUCGGAGACCCAUAGUGUUAUAUACCAAUCGACUCAGCUCGAAAAACUGAGUAAAUGUCCGUCUGUGUGUGUGUGUGUGGAUGUGUGUAGCCCCGGGAUUUUUUUAAUGUUAAACACGUUUCAUAUAGAAAGACUUGACAGAUUCGACUGCAACUAAAUUCAUUCGACGGAGAAACUUUCCUAGUUGGACACUAUUGUUUUUGUUUGUUAAUAACUCAUUCGGUUUGAAUAAUAUUUCUAUUUUUCUUUUAACAAAUACGCUGUUUACAUGCACACUUUAAGUCAUUAAUCAAUUUAGCCGUGACGCAAUCCAUUACUCUCAUAGUUGAGUAAUUCUUAAGUAGCGUGAGUAGA